rnacentral:rRNA from 1 species
GACGAACGCUGGCGGCGUGCUUAACACAUGCAAGUCGAACGGAAAGGCCCUGCUUUUGUGGGGUGCUCGAGUGGCGAACGGGUGAGUAACACGUGAGUAACCUGCCCUUGACUUUGGGAUAACUUCAGGAAACUGGGGCUAAUACCGGAUAGGAGCUCCUGCUGCAUGGUGGGGGUUGGAAAGUUUCGGCGGUUGGGGAUGGACUCGCGGCUUAUCAGCUUGUUGGUGGGGUAGUGGCUUACCAAGGCUUUGACGGGUAGCCGGCCUGAGAGGGUGACCGGCCACAAUGGGACUGAGAUAGGGCCCAGACGCCUACGGGAGGCAGCAGGGGGGAGUAUUGCACAAUGGGCGGAAGCCUGAUGCAGCAACGCCGCGUGCGGGAUGACGGCCUUCGGGUUGUAAACCGAUUUCGCCUGUGACGAAGCGUGAGUGACGGUAAUGGGUAAAGAAGCACCGGCUAACUACGUG